rnacentral:rRNA from 1 species
UACGUAGGGGGCAAGCGUUGUCCGGAUUUAUUGGGCGUAAGCGCGUGUAGGCGGCCAGGUAGGUCCGCUGGGAAAACCCGAGGCUCAACCUCGGGACGUCGGCGGAAACCAUUUGGCUAGAGUCCGGAAGAGGAGAGUGGAAUUCCCGGUGUAGCGGUGAAAUGCGCAGAUAUCGGGAAGAACACCCGUGGCGAAGGCGGCUCUCUGGGACGGUACUGACGCUGAGACGCGAAAGCGUGGGGAGCGAACAGG